GGGGGGGGGCAGCCUCCCCAUAGACCCCUCUCCUCAACCCUGAUGUCCCAGGAGGACAUGCUCUCGGCGGGAUUAAAGAUAAACAGCGACUCGGCUUCCCCGAGAGGAUACCAUAAACACAAGCCCUGCGGUGACGCACCACAAACGCAUCGGCAGGCCACCAUACGACACCUAUCAAUUUCGACUGUUCUGUUGUUGUUGUCCCUGUGACGGGGUGAUACCAGGAAACCAAGAGGAGAAUUGUGGAUAAUGGGGAGGGGUUUCCUCUCUAUGCAUGUCAACACCCACCACCACCUUCCAACGCAAACAAACACACACACACACACACACACACACACACACACACACACACACACACACACACACACACACACACACACACACACACACACACACACACACACACACACACACACCCCUUUUGGAAAACAAACACAACGUAAACAGACCAGAUAAUUAGAGCUCAAUUUCAGCCAAAUGAUUGUCCAAGCAUUUCUCCACAUGGCUAAGCUAAAUAACACAUUUAGAUUGAUGCUUUGAUGCUCCAUUUCAGGAUAAUGCCAGAUGGGUUGGUCCAUUUUUUACUUGGGAUUUUUGUGCAAAAUGAUCAUAUCUGACUAAUAACGGAGGCCUAAAGGAAUAAAAUGGGCCGUUCUGGGACUCUCAGGAAAACAUUGGGUUGGUGUGUUAGAAAUGCCAGAUUCUGGUCCCAGUCCACCCCUGCUCCUAAUAUUGUAUCUCUCCAACCCUAGCUCCACCCCUGCUCCUAAUAUUGUAUCUCUCCAUCCCUAGCUCCACCCCUGCUCCUAAUAUGGUAUCUUUUCAACCCUAGCUCCACCCCUGCUCCUAAUAUUGUAUCUCUCCAUCCCUAGCUCCACCCCUGCUCCUAAUAUUGUAUCUAUCCAACCCUAGCUCCACCCCUGCUCCUAAUAUGGUAUCUCCCCAUCCCUAGCUCCACCCCUGCUCCUAAUAUUGUAUCUAUCCAACCCUAGCUCCACCCCUGCUCCUAAUAUGGUAUCUCCCCAUCCCUAGCUCCACCCCUGCUCCUAAUAUGGUAUCUAUCCAUCCCUAGCUCCACCCCUUCUCUUAAUACUGUAUCUCUCCAUCCCUAGCUCCACCCCUUCUCUUAAUACUGUAUCUAUCCAUCCCUAGCUCCACCCCUGCUCCUAAUAUGGUAUCGCUCCAACCCUAGCUCCACCCCUGCUCCCAAUAUUGUAUCUCUCUACCCCUAGCUCCACCCCUGCUCCUAAUAUGGUAUCUAUCCAUCCCUAGCCCCACCCCUGCUCCUAAUAUUGUAUCUCUCCACCCCUAGCCCCACCCCUGCUCCUAAUAUUGUAUCUCUCCACCCCUAGCCCCACCCCUGCUCCUAAUAUUGUAUCUCUCCAUCCCUAGCUCCACCCCUGCUCCUAAUAUUGUAUCUCUCCAUCCCUAGCCCCACCCCUGCUCCUAAUAUUGUAUCUCUCCAUCCCUAGCCCCACCCCUGCUCCUAAUAUGGUAUCUAUCCAUCCCUAGCUCCACCCCUGAUCCUACUACUGUAUCUCUCCAUCCCUAGCUCCACCCCUGCUCCUAAUAUUGUAUCUCUCCAUCCCUAGCCCCACCCCUGCUCCUAAUAUGUUAUCUAUCCAUCCCUAGCUCCACCCCUGCUCCUAAUAUUGUAUCUCUCCAACCCUAGCUCCACCCCUAGCUCCACCCCUGCUCCUAAUAUAGUAUCUAUCCACCCCUAGCUCCACCCCUGUUUCAGGAAGACUCUUAGGCCAGACAUGUCCAAUUUGUAAGUCGCUCUGGAUAAGAGCGUCUGCUAAAUGACAUAAAUGUAAAUGUAAAUGUUAUAGACGUGUUUAGAGAAUCCCUAAAUAGAAGAUCAGUGAUAGAUGAGAAAUGAGAUCUAAUGACGCAUUUAUUUACAGUACGGUUCCCAGCUCUGUUAACUGACACACACACACACACACACACACACACACACACACACACACACACACACACACACACACACACACACACACACACACACACACAGACAAAAUAGAGAGAUUCCAUGAGCCUUGCAUAAGUAUCUUUCGAGGGGAGUUGUGAUCGAGGUGUGAAGACAGAACGGCACAUUCUUGAGUUCAUCUUUAUGAAUUAGACCCUGCCAAACGAUAAGGGCUUGAAUCGCUUUGAUGCGAUGCACCAAAUGAUCUUGCUAAUGAUUGUGUGUGUGUGUGUGUGUGUGUGUGUUCUUUGAGUUCUUAUCUUAACAUAUUUAAUCCCAUCGGUCACAAUAGUGACCGUAAAAAACGUUUUCAGUUAUAAGGCUCUAAAAAUGUUACUGAAUGAUCUAUCAAUGUAUUUCCAGCAAAUAUUGAAAUAAUAAAGGGUCUCAAUGAAAGAUGUGCAGUGUCACAUGUUUAGUGUGAAUUGUCACAUGACCAGAGCUGUUUACUUCCUGGUUGCACCAUGAGAAGAGGAUGACUGCAUCAAAGCUCCCAAACAAAAGUUUCACUUUGAGUCAAGAUCUGGACAUGUUUGAUCUAGGUGACUGCCCAGACAAGGCAUGCAACAUUGCAGUUAUCCCUCAAAAUGAGAAAGAUGCUGUCCUCAGUGAUUGUGAUAGCGAUGGGUCAGAUAUGGAGUAUGGACCGGCCAUUUGCCAGCCAGGCUGUUGAAUGCAUAUCCUGAACAUAUGCAAACAGAUCAUGACAGGAACAACGUUAUCAGUGAUGAUGACCUACCCCUCAUCCCCCCCAUCCACAACCUCCCCCACCCCCCUCCAUUGUUGAUAAUGAAGAGCCAAGGGCCUCUACCCGCCAGAGGGUCCAGUCAGAAGAGCCAAGGGCCUCUACAAGCCAUAGGGGUCAGCCAGAAGAGCCAAGGGAAAAGCUGCAGGUGGUCAAAAAUAAAGAUUGAGUGUUCAAACAAUCGAAGAGGCCUGCCACUGAUGUGAUUCCAAAACACAUAGUAUACAACCCAAAUAUGCAAAAGUUUGGCACGAAACCACUGAGCCACGGAAGGAGAUCUUUACUGACUGCUACUGUUGAAGAUCAGGCAAGAUAUGACAAAACUUCUCACUGGCCAAUCAAGACGAUGCACCGGUUCCAGAGAAGUCGUCAUUGUGACAAACGUACUACCUAUGCAUGUGAGAAAUGCAAAACGCCACUGCACAUUGAGUGCUUCAAGAUAUACCAUGGACAGUAGAAAACGAGAUAAGAUCGAAUGAAAAAGGGCUGAAAAAGACAACAAAAGAAAAAUUGAAAAGUCGAUAAAGGGUGAGGAGAAGCAGUACAACGGACUCUAGGAAGAAAAGAAAAGUCGACGAAAAAGACAAUCAAAAUGACUGAAAUGUUUUUGGAAAAGGUCAAUUGAUUCAAGACAUACUGUAUGACAGUAGGAAUAGUAGGAAAAUAGUGAUGCACAAACUAAUUUUGCUCUUGGUUCUGAAGCCUAACUCUAUGAUAUACUGUAUAUAUAUAUAAGCACUCAUUGUGCAGUGGUGCUUUUUAAAUAUAUAUAUAUAUACAUAUAAUUGUAUUUUGUUCAGUGUAGGCCUCUACUUGAAUGCAUAUUCUACAGGCUACCUCUAUCCUAAAUGUUACCUUUAUGUUCAGUGGGAAUGAAUCACACGACUGCUAUACAUUUGUUAGUGAAUGUUGCUCUAAAAUGUCACAAUGACAAUGUUACAAUGAAUAUUGCACUAAAGUACAAGUUCAAAUGUUACAAUAAAGUUACAAUAUUAAUGUUUCAAUACAUGUUACAAUAAAGUAACAAUGUUGAAAUACA